UGCCGAGAGCUUUUUCUCGUCUCGGGGGUGCGUCGCUUGUAGCGUUCUGCGUAGUGUGGGUGUGCGCUGUGGGCGUUUGGCUUGGAUCUGCCCUGGCCCUGGAUGUAGAGGUAGCGGUGGGGGGGCCUAGUGGCGAUAGCUUGCGGUUCGUCGGUUGCUGUGCCUGGGCUCUUGUGGGAAAGGUCAGAUGGAGCCGUCUUGGAUCGAGUGGCCGUAGCCAGCGGGCGAGGACGGUAAUUUCCGUAGUGUUUUGUGGGCUCGGAGGGGAUGACGGGAGCUGUCUGGGAGAGGGCGCUAGGGUUCUGUCUGAGCGGAUGGCCUCUGAAGGGUGUUUGAGGUUUUGUACGUGUGUAGGGCUGAACGUGUGAUUUCCCAUCUUGCUUUCAAGGGCAGGGUGUAAGGGGGCUCCAGAUGGUAUCGCCAUGUGGGAAUGAGACCUGUGGAACGGUAAAGCUCUGUUGUUGUGCAUCCAGGUGACUGGCUUGACGUUGUUUUUCACAUGCCGGGGGAGGAGUCGUGCAGGGCGACGGAGGAGAACCGACGACUGCUCUGCAAGCAGCCGGUAAAGCGAGGAGCAAUGGGCGCUUUGGGCACCGGAGGCGGUCGGGCAAGGCGAGCGGCCAUCAGUGGGCUGAAGCAGCGGUUCUUUUUGACGUGGAGCGUCGCUGGUGAAGGCGUUCCACGGCGGCUCGGAGCGGCGCUGUUGCGUGCCCGUGGGAGGUCUGAGAGGGCGAGGCAGUGGUCGGCAUCUAAGGUCGGAGAUUGCUGCGGUCCAUUGUUAAGCCUGUAAGUUUUGCAGGCAGCAUCCGGGCGGUCUUUGGAACGGCGUAACGGGCGUUUGAAGUGAGCCGGGUAGCGAUGGAGAAGUACACGGGGCUGGUGGUUUUUCACGAGUGUACCGGUAGCUUGGUGUGUUUCGGCAUAUCGGGGGCCAAAAGCGAUGACGGGUGCGGUGCGUGGUGCUGGCAUCGGUGCAGAGCAGGUGAGCCGAUGGACAUGUUCCUUUUGAGAAGGGUGACGUUCUGGAAGGGAUCUGCGGUGACCCGUGUGAUACUUGUCGCUGGCGCUGGGUGGUUUUUUUUUUAUUUUUCUUUCAGAUGAUGAAGGGAAGCCUGGCAACUGCAGGAAUAUCCUGUUAGCUGCUGUGUUUUCUGGUGUGAAAGGUUUGAGAACCUGAGCCAUCUGAAAGCCACACAGUCUGUCUUUUUGACUUUGGUUAGGAAGAGAUUUUGAAAAAUGUAAAUAUUUCGUAUUUCACAUUCUAUGAACUUUCCAUCAGAGUGGAUUUUUGGAGAUGGUGUAUUUGGCAUCAGAAUUAAUGAUAACAAGAGUUAUUAUUCUAGAAUGAAGUUGAUAUUUUUUUGUUUUAAAAAAAUAAUAUCCAAGUACAGCACAAUAGUGUAAAUGGUGACGGUAUCGUUAGUGUUUGGGUUUUCAGCUGUCACAAUUAAGAUAUAAAAUGGUGUUCUGCAUGAUUCAGUACAGCCAAAUAAUUUAGCAAAUGUGGAAGUGUAUUUUGGUUGCUUUAGGUAUUACAGCACUGUGGAUUUGACACCUCCCCCCUUCUUCCCUGAAACUAUAACCAUAUGGGUGAUCUCUUACCUCUAUGAGUUUUCUAUUAUAAAUGAUACUUAAAAAAAAAAAGCUAACAUUGUAUGAUUUACAAACUGACUUGUGUUGUUUAAACUCUAAGUGCCAAAUAGCUGUAGCUUAAGAUUUAUUAGGUGUAUGUAAGGAGUUAGGUAUUUGUUGGAAAUGUUUAUCAAGAGGGGCAACUGCAUGUUUUGGCUUUUUUCCCUUGAUAUUUUGAGGGAGCGUUACGAAGCACUUAACUUCCCCCUUGCUUUCAAGGG